AGCCCAAUACAAAUCAUCUUGCUGAAGACGGCGAACUUUUCACCAAUCACCAGUACGAACAGGGAGGCGAAGGCGACGCUCUAGGUCGCUUGCCGCCGCCGCCGAACUCCGCAUGCAUCUGUGGCACCCACCGCUCCCAGCUGGCCCGCUCGUCUGCGACGUCAGUUUGCACCUGCUCCCGCUCCGUCCACGGCAGGGAGUGGGGUGGAAAGACAUGACUUCGCUGUUACUGAAAAUUGCAACAAUGCUGCAGAGUUGGUCUAUUCUAUGCCCUCAGGGAAGGAGACGUUUGCUGGGAAGCUGAGAAAGCUGAAAUCCUUGGCCACAGCCCACAAGACCAAUAAGAAUUUCUGGAUAAACCAAGUGGAGAACAAAUGGGAGAAAUACAUGUUCCAACAAGCCCAGAAUUGGGAAGACAAAGAAAUUCCAGAAAAAGUGAAGGCGAAGCUUGCUGAAAGUCUUUUGGAGGAACGAGACAUUUCAAAGAGGCGUUGGUUUAGUGUGUUAAGUCUGGGAGAGUCCUCAGCUUAGUUGUGUAUGUUGGGAGAAUGAUUGUUGUCAAGGAAAGUCCUUCAAGUAUGGAGCUGUAAUGUUUCUUGCAGCUUUUUCUGGGUUUUUUUGAAUAGGUGAAAAUCCAUCUGUAAGGCCUAGUUUGACAACUCUAUUUUUCUAAGAGAUUUUAAUUUCCUCAACGAAAAAUGACUAAUUUCCCUUGAUAAAAUAAAAAUCCCUUAGAAAAUAGAGUUGUCAAACUAGCCCUAAACUGUAAUCAGAUGUUUUUAUCUUUGCUAAUGCUAAUCCUGGGACAAUGCCCUAAAACU